AGAAGGGGCUGUGUUCGGAACAGCUGGGCUCUGAGGUGGCACGUGAAAGCCCAAAGCCGGAGCCCAGAGGGCCAGAGCACUCUGGGGAAUGAACCCUGUUCUCUGACAGCACAGAGCCUUUACAAAGACAGUGAGAGCCGCCAGGUUGGAGAAGCGGAGGGAGAGAAGCAGAAAGGUAGUGAGCCUGGAGGCCUGACUCCCCUCCACCCACUCUGGGAAACCUUCCACGACCGCCUGGCAGUCAUAGGUGCCUUCUGCCCCGUCUUCCCUCAGCCCUCUGUCCCCUCCCUAGUGCAAUACAGUGUUGUCAUUACUGGCAGGGCCAUGUCCCCACUGCACCCACCACAUGCAGCUAUGGUAGCUGCUCAAAACACGUUGAUGGGCUGAAUGAAUCUGAAGAGAAGGAAAUCUGAAGGUAUCUCCAAGAAUGAGCUGGAGGGGAACCACCUGCCUGGCAAUUUUGCCCUGAUAGGAAAACUCUCCCAGAGGACUGGCAGGUUUCAGAGCUGGAAGGGACUUUAAAGACCCUUUAAUGAGGACAUUGAGGACAACAGAGGAAAAAUAAAUUACCCAAAGCCACACAUGAGAACUGGCAGUGGGGAGGGGGGUCUUCGGACUCCGUGGAUGGCUGUCUGCGAGAUCUCCCCUUCGUCUUGCUAUUUCUUUGCUGUCGUGGGAACACAAGCCUAUCAUUCCAGAGCGAAGAGAUUUUGGUGAGCAGAGGUCUUCGAGCUUCAUGGAGGCACAGUCCUGAUCACAAGAGUGGGGAGGCAUCGUCUAUUCCUGAUCCGCCAAAGGCCAUGGAAGGCCAUCGCAGCCUGAGUAUUUCUGCAAGCGUAGACGGGGGAAGUUGAAGCGUCUGAUGUCUCUGAAAUAGAAAGUUUCCUCUUGGGGAGGAAGGAGAACCGGGACCCUGGCUAAUGACCACCCAUAUUGAUACAGUUUGCAACAUGUCUCCAAAAACAUCUAGAUAUGAGCCUUAGGAGUACUGUUCUUGUUGGAUUAAAUUU